rnacentral:rRNA from 1 species
UGGAGAGUUUGAUCCUGGCUCAGAUUGAACGCUGGCGGCAGGCCUAACACAUGCAAGUCGAGCGGUAGAGAGGUGCUUGCACCUCUUGAGAGCGGCGGACGGGUGAGUAAUGCCUAGGAAUCUGCCUGGUAGUGGGGGAUAACGCUCGGAAACGGACGCUAAUACCGCAUACGUCCUACGGGAGAAAGCAGGGGACCUUCGGGCCUUGCGCUAUCAGAUGAGCCUAGGUCGGAUUAGCUAGUUGGUGAGGUAAUGGCUCACCAAGGCGACGAUCCGUAACUGGUCUGAGAGGAUGAUCAGUCACACUGGAACUGAGACACGGUCCAGACUCCUACGGGAGGCAGCAGUGGGGAAUAUUGGACAAUGGGCGAAAGCCUGAUCCAGCCAUGCCGCGUGUGUGAAGAAGGUCUUCGGAUUGUAAAGCACUUUAAGUUGGGAGGAAGGGCAGUUACCUAAUACGUAUCUGUUUUGACGUUACCGACAGAAUAAGCACCGGCUAACUCUGUGCCAGCAGCCGCGGUA